UGCCAGACUCCUACGGGAGGCAGCAGUGAGGAAUAUUGGUCAAUGGGCGGGAGCCUGGACCAGCCAAGCCGCGUGAGGGAAGAAGGUACAGCGUAUCGUAAACCUCUUUUGUCAGGGAACAAAGGCGGGGACUAGUCCCCGGAUGAGAGUGCCUGAAGAAAAAGCAUCGGCUAACUCCGUGCCAGCAGCCGCGGUAAUACGGAGGAUGCGAGCGUUAUCCGGAUUUAUUGGGUUUAAAGGGUGCGCAGGCGGCCUGUUAAGUCAGCGGGAAAAGCCUGGGGCUCAACCCCGGCGAGCCGUUGAAACUGGCGGGCUGGAGUUGGAGAGAAGUACGCGGAAUGCGCGGUGUAGCGGUGAAAUGCAUAGAUAUCGCGCAGAACUCCGAUUGCGAAGGCAGCAUGCCGGCUCCACACUGACGCUGAGGCACGAAAGCGUGGGUAUCGAACAGGAUUAGAUACCCUUGUA
rnacentral:rRNA from 1 species